AGAGUUCAUCUCAGGAGACAAGGACUGUGCCGAGUGUCGCCUCCUGCCUGGAGUGACCCUGGGCGGGGACCCCUGGGUCUGCCGUCAGCCAGCAGAGAGAGGGAGCUGCACCAGCCUCUCACAUGAGCAGGAGCACCUAUGGAGCACCUGCUGCAUGCAGUGGGGGCAGGGAAAGAGGUGAGGCCGCACCUGCUGGAGGGGGACUGAAGGGCGAGCAGGGUCUGGGGGUGGCUCUGAGGGUGGAGAGCACACGGCGCCCGGUCUCUCCGCAAUGCCAUCCUUCGUGGCCCUGGAUGUGCUCCCUGCCUCGGAUGUCACCUCGUGCCUCUCUGCGUGCCGGGUUGGUCCCUGCAGCCUCAUGAGGAGUGGUCGCUUGGCCUCGGUUUGGCCUGCACUGUCCUCCGGCCUCACGUGGCCUUGUCUUCACACCCAGCGUGGUCAUGUCUUGGGAGCCCGUCACCCACGCACGCCUCAGGGUGGAGCCCCCGCCUGGACUCAGGACCCCGGGCACCACACCCAGGCGGUGGCCCCAGACCCUCCCCUGUCCAAACAGGAGAUCUCUCAUAAUGCAGCCAGGUGGUGUCCGGGGGACUGAGGCCCACCAGCGCCUCCGCCUUUUCCCGGCCUGAUGGCGAAUUCUGGUGCUGCUUCCUCAGCCUUGGCUCAGAUGCCAUCCUGCCGCUGCAGGAUUUGCCUUCUGCUCUGCAUCCUGGCUCUGUCAUCAGCAGCCCUGGUCUCAAGGGGAGGCCCCCUGGGCGCACCAGCUCCCGCGUGUCUCAGAGGCUAUGCAGACAAGAGUCCCUGGACUGGGCUGUGUUUGCUGGGGCUCCUUCCCUCCAGCGACGAGUCCCCAGAUCAUCUCCCGGGUGUGCCUCAGUUCUCAAAGGUCCUGGCAGCCCCUCUGCGCCAGGCAGUGGCCGCACGCCAGCAGCCUCCUCCCACAGCCCAGGAGCUGGAGGAAACAGCUCAGCCAAGCCGCGCCACCAGCUAGAGCCGGGACUCCCUCCUUGACAUUCAGAGCUGCUAAGUUUUCCUGCGCACGGACACACAGCCCUCCUGAAGAAAUAACUCACAAUCUUCCUGUGCCCGGCUAUUGCCAGACCCUUGGCUGAUAGGAGAAUGGAUGUUAGCUGACUGCAACCUUGGCGUUAUCAGUACUGCCUGUGGCCCUCUCCAGCACACAGCACAGGCGCCGUCCUAUAACAUCCCCAGCAAGCCCUCAUUUCUUUGCAGUGGCUCCUCCCUUGCUGACCUGCCCCUUGCUUCGGCUCCUCCCUUGCUGACCUGCCCCUUGCUUCGGCUCCUCCCUUGCUGACCUGCCCCUUGCUUCGGCUCCUCCCUUGCUGACCUGCCCCUUGCUUCGGCUCCUCCCUUGCUGACCUGCCCGUUGCUUCUGUGCUAUGCACAUUUUCUACUUUCUCUAAUAAAUCUGCCUUUCUUUACCUACAA
rnacentral:lncRNA from 1 species